ACAGAUACCUAUGGUGGGUAUAUC
rnacentral:siRNA from 1 species